ensembl:snRNA U1 U1 spliceosomal RNA
AUACUUACCUGGCAAGGGAGACACCGUGAUCACCAAGGCGGUUCACCCAGGGCGAGGCUCGGCCAUUGCACUCCGGCUGUGCUGACCCCUGCGAAUGGGGAUGCGCCGUACAGUAGUGCAAUUGCCCC